CAAAGUUUUGGUCCUAAACUUGCCGUUAUUUAAAAUCAAAAUUACACAUGCAAGUAUCCGCACACCAGUGAAAAUGCCCAAACACUUAUUUAUAAAAAAGGAGCUGGCAUCAGGAACGCUUCUCCGCAGCCUACAACGCCUUGCCACAGGCCACACCCCCACGGGACUCAGCAGUGAUAAACAUUAAGCCAUUAGCACACACUUCAAGCUAGACUUAGUUAUGAUUACAAGGACCGGUUAACUUCGUGCCAGCCACCGCGGUUAUACGAGGGGUCCAAAAUAACGACCAUCGGCGUAAAGCGUGACUAGAUAUACCAUACACGAAGCUCAAAACUAAGCCUUGACAUAAAACCCACAGGCCACAAAUUAAGCCCUCACGCUUCCCCAUAUUAACUCACGAAAGCUAAGACACAAACUAGGAUUAGAUACCCUACUAUGCUCAGCCAUUAACCUAGAUGUACAAAAACAUACAAUCCGCCAGAGUACUACGAGCGAAAAGCUUAAAACUCAAAGGACUUGACGGUGUUCCAUAUCAACCUAGAGGAGCCUGUCCUAUAAACGAUACCCCACGUUAUACCUCUCCUUCCCUCGCCCCAUCAGCCUAUAUACCGCCGUCGCCAGUCUACCUUAUGAAAGCUAAAAAGUAGGCAAACCCGUCCAACACAGAAACGUCAGGUCAAGGUGUAGCCAAUGAGAAGGUAAGAGAUGGGCUACAUUCUUUAUAAAAAAGACUACAAAAAGCACAAUGAAAUAGUGCCCAAAGAUGGAUUUAGAAGUAAGCUGGACAAGACAAUCCAACCGAACUCUGCCCUGGAACGCGUACACACCGCCCGUCACCCUCAUCAACCUACAAAACCCAUAAAUAAACACACAAAAGACAACAGAUGAGGUAAGUCGUAACAUGGUAAGCGUACUGGAAAGUGUGCUUGGAAA
rnacentral:ncRNA from 1 species